GACGAACGCUGGCGGCGUGCUUAACACAUGCAAGUCGAACGGAAAGGCCCUGCUUUUGUGGGGUGCUCGAGUGGCGAACGGGUGAGUAAAACGUGAGUAACCUGCCCUUGACUUUGGGAUAACUUCAGGAAACUGGGGCUAAUACCGGAUAGGAGCUCCUGCUGCAUGGUGGGGGUUGGAAAGUUUCGGCGGUUGGGGAUGGACUCGCGGCUUAUCAGCUUGUUGGUGAGGUAGUGGCUUACCAAGGCUUUGACGGGUAGCCGGCCUGAGAGGGUGACCGGCCACAUUGGGACUGAGAUACGGCCCAGACUCCUACGGGAGGCAGCAGGGGGGAAUAUUGCACAAUGGGCGGAAGCCUGAUGCAGCAACGCCGCGUGCGGGAUGCCGGCCUUCGGGUUGUAAACCGCUUUCGCCUGUGACGAAGCGUGAGUGACGGUAAUGGGUAAAGAAGCACCGGCUAACUACGUG
rnacentral:rRNA from 1 species